AUACGAAGGGUGCGAGCGUUAAUCGGAAUUACUGGGCGUAAAGCGCGUGUAGGCGGUUGGAUAAGUCGGAUGUGAAAGCCCCGGGCUCAACCUGGGAAUUGCAUUCGAAACUGUCCGGCUAGAGUAUGGUAGAGGGAAGCGGAAUUCCACAUGUAGCGGUGAAAUGCGUAGAUAUGUGGAGGAACACCAGUGGCGAAGGCGGCUUCCUGGACCAAUACUGACGCUGAGGUGCGAAAGCGUGGGGAGCAAACAGGAUUAGAAACCCUAGUAGUCC
rnacentral:rRNA from 1 species